rnacentral:lncRNA from 10 species
CCGCGGAGGUGGUUUCAUUUCGGAAGGUGCCAGAGUAGGAGCUGGAGUCCGGACCCUCCAUGCCACAUGGCCUUCAGCUGAGGGUUGGGGCGGUGACUCCCGGCCACCGCCUUUCCUCUAGGUAGUCAACUGUCCUCAAUGUUGAAAGUCAAGUUUAUGUCUAUCCCUCCCUCCCUAGAAAGGCGGGGGAACUCAGACAUCGCUCAGCCAACGUGGAGAACCUCUGAACAGCUGUGCCCCAGCGCCAAAGCAGCGAAGGGUCCCAGGUCUCUCACCCGGUGGCGGCCGUGGGCUGUGUUGUCUAAAAGCAGAUUUCCGGCCUUCUUGUCCAAGUAGACAAGGAAAUGUGAACAGAAAGACAAAGUUCAGUGGAAUGGUGAAAAACCUCUAGCAGCUUCUUAAGGUAGAGAGGGGACCAGAAAAGGGGUGGAUGUGGGUGGCUGAGGGAAAGCAGAUUGGAGAAGUGGUGGACAACUGAAAGAGGAAAAAGUUGGAAGACCAAAGUGGAAGCGUGGGAAUGGAGAGAAGAACUGGGAAGGAAGGAGGCUCUGUAAAUCCAGUGAAUGUGGAUCCCAAUACUGAGGCCACCUGCUGUCAUCCUAGGCUGUUCCCCCUCCCACCCUCUCCCGAUAUUUGGUGGUCUGAGGAUAGCUAGAGGUAGAUGGGUUAGAGGCAGUGUGAGAAUGCAGUUGGAGGCCUCAGUCCUCCCCGGGACUGCUCCGUAAGGCCUCGUGGUGGAAGGGCAUUGAAUGGCCCGGCCUCGUCGUUAACCUGGCCAGUGGACUAGGCUGUUAUCAGCUUGCUGUUUCCAUCUGGAAGUGAGCAGGUACUGCUGGCGGCGGAUUUAUGAGUAACCAAUGUAUUAGGAGUCAGAAUACUUAGGUUUUAGUCCCAACUCUUCCACUAGCCGUCCAGGCAAGUAAUUUAACUUCUUCAUUACUUAUAAAACAAGGAUAAUAUUUAUAAUGACAUUUAUAAUGACUACUUCAUAGGGUUAAGUUUGUGAGCCUGUAUGUGAAAAAACUGAAAGCUGCAAGCUCUAUACAACUGUAAGGUGUCAUUCCUUGUACAAUAGUUUGAACUCGUUUUAAUGGCCCUGUGAAACUCUACUGCGUGGCUUGAUAUUACAGUUCUUGGGGUUUUUGUUUGGCCGGUAGUCCCUGUAGUUUCUCUCCCUGGACUGUGAAUUCUUUGAGAGCACUGGUUGUGACUUACUCAUGUUUGUAUUUCCCACUACUCUUUAUGUGAAGGAGGGGCUCAGUAUUGCUGCUGAACUUUGUCACAUGAAGGUUGAAACUUUUCAUUUAUGUCACUUGGUUUGGUGCUACACAUAGAUCAAAGGCUUUGGAUAGCAUGGAUAUCAGCGACAGUUUGAAGAAAGAAAUAUGGAUGUGAUCAGAGGAGUUCAGGGAGACAUACAUAAAAAUGUUAAUCACGGUUUUCUUUAUGUUGUAUACACUUCUGCAUUGCUUAAAUAUUUGAUGAGCAUAUAUUACUUUUUGUUUCUGUGUUUAUUGGGGCAUAACAUGUACACAGUAUGUGUAUACCUUGAUAAAUUUUUACAUGUAUAUACAUAUGUACGUGUAUGUAUGUGUGUAUACAUAUGUACGUGUAUGUAUGUGUGUAUACAUAUGUACGUGUAUGUGUGUAUACAUAUGUACGUGUAUAUGUGUGUAUACAUAUGUACGUGUAUAUGUGUGUAUACAUAUGUACGUGUAUAUGUGUGUGUACAUAUGUACGUGUAUGUGUGUGUAUACAUAUGUACGUGUGUGUGUAUACAUAUAUACACGUGUAUAGAUACGUGUAUACAUAUAUACAUGUCUAUAUAUACAUGUAUAUACUCACACACAUAUAUAUAUCCAUGUAAUCCCCACCCAAAACAAGAUAUAGAGCCUUUCCAAGACCUGAGGAUUCCCUUAUGUACCUUCACCGGCCAUAAAUUCCCAAAGUAACCAUUAUUCUGAUUUCUGUCACCAUAGAUUGAUUACUUGAGCUGAUUCUUGAACUUCUCAUAAAUG